rnacentral:rRNA from 1 species
GAUGAACGCUGGCGGCGUGCCUAAUACAUGCAAGUCGAGCGAACAGACGAGGAGCUUGCUCCUUUGACGUUAGCGGCGGACGGGUGAGUAACACGUGGGUAACCUACCUAUAAGACUGGGAUAACUUCGGGAAACCGGAGCUAAUACCGGAUAAUAUUUCGAACCGCAUGGUUCGAUAGUGAAAGAUGGCUUUGCUAUCACUUAUAGAUGGACCUGCGCCGUAUUAGCUAGUUGGUAAGGUAACGGCUUACCAAGGCAACGAUACGUAGCCGACCUGAGAGGGUGAUCGGCCACACUGGAACUGAGACACGGUCCAGACUCCUACGGGAGGCAGCAGUAGGGAAUCUUCCGCAAUGGGCGAAAGCCUGACGGAGCAACGCCGCGUGAGUGAUGAAGGUCUUCGGAUCGUAAAACUCUGUUAUUAGGGAAGAACAAACGUGUAAGUAACUGUGCACGUCUUGACGGUACCUAAUCAGAAAGCCACGGCUAACUACGUGCCAGCAGCCGCGGUAAUACGUAGGUGGCAAGCGUUAUCCGGAAUUAUUGGGCGUAAAGCGCGCGUAGGCGGUUUUUUAAGUCUGAUGUGAAAGCCCACGGCUCAACCGUGGAGGGUCAUUGGAAACUGGAAAACUUGAGUGCAGAAGAGGAAAGUGGAAUUCCAUGUGUAGCGGUGAAAUGCGCAGAGAUAUGGAGGAACACCAGUGGCGAAGGCGACUUUCUGGUCUGUAACUGACGCUGAUGUGCGAAAGCGUGGGGAUCAAACAGGAUUAGAUACCCUGGUAGUCCACGCCGUAAACGAUGAGUGCUAAGUGUUAGGGGGUUUCCGCCCCUUAGUGCUGCAGCUAACGCAUUAAGCACUCCGCCUGGGGAGUACGACCGCAAGGUUGAAACUCAAAGGAAUUGACGGGGACCCGCACAAGCGGUGGAGCAUGUGGUUUAAUUCGAAGCAACGCGAAGAACCUUACCAAAUCUUGACAUCCUUUGCUCCUUCUAGAGAUAGAAGUUUCCCCUUCGGGGGACAAAGUGACAGGUGGUGCAUGGUUGUCGUCAGCUCGUGUCGUGAGAUGUUGGGUUAAGUCCCGCAACGAGCGCAACCCUUAAGCUUAGUUGCCAUCAUUAAGUUAGGCACUCUAAGUUGACUGCCGGUGACAAACCGGAGGAAGGUGGGGAUGACGUCAAAUCAUCAUGCCCCUUAUGAUUUGGGCUACACACGUGCUACAAUGGACAAUACAAAGGGCAGCGAAACCGCGAGGUCAAGCAAAUCCCAUAAAGUUGUUCUCAGUUCGGAUUGUAGUCUGCAACUCGACUACAUGAAGCUGGAAUCGCUAGUAACCGUAGAUCAGCAUGCUACGGUGAAUACGUUCCCGGGUCUUGUACGCACCGCCCGUCACACCACGAGAGUUUGUAACACCCGAAGCCGGUGGAGUAACCAUUUGGAGCUAGCCGUCGAAGGUGGGACAAAUGAUUGGGGUGAAGUCGUAACAAGGUAGCCGUAUCGGAAGG